GACGUAGGUGGCGAGCGUUAUCCGGAUUUACUGGGCGUAAAGCGCGCGUAGGCGGAUCGCUAAGUCAGGGGUGAAAUCCCAGGGCUCAACCCUGGAACUGCCUUUGAUACUGACGAUCUGGAGAUCGGGAGAGGUUGGUGGAAUUCCGAGUGUAGAGGUGAAAUUCGUAGAUAUUCGGAGGAACACCAGAAGCGAAGGCGGCCAACUGGCCCGAUACUGACGCUGAGGCGCGAAAGCGUGGGGAGCAAACAGG
rnacentral:rRNA from 1 species